UCCCCGCCGCCACCUCCUCCUCGAAAUCGUCCCCUCAAUCCCCAUCCCUUUGCCGUCCCUUCUGUCCCUCUCCUCCGUCCUUCCUCCUCCCCGCUGCUUAGCAGGAGGAGCACGAUGCGCCGCCGCACUUCCUCGUCCUCCCGAUCCCAUCACGAUUCUCCUCCCCCAAUUGAUCUCCGGCGACCGCCAGAGGAGGAGGCCGCCGCCGCUCGCCCGGAGUUGGGUCCCCACAAGCACAAGAGGAGGAGGCCGCCGUUACCUUGUCCCACCAUGGGCCGCUGCCUCACCCAGCGAGCAUCCUUUUCUUCUGCAUCUUCGUCCACCGCGCCGCGUGAAGAGACGAGGCCCUGCCAUCCGCCCUUUCUCGUAUUAUCAGGUUGAUUUGCAACGUGGCUGAUAAUCCACUUCAUCUACCUGCUUUAACCAUUUUCGGAGCCAAUAAAUAAGAGGUUCCUUUCAUUCGGGAGAUGCACAAGGCAUCGGUGCUGGAGCUCUGUACGACAGCACGGGCGUUGGGGCAGAGGUAGGUCGAGUGGAGAUUCUUUUCUAGCUUGGGCGACCCGUGCAUCAUGUAGGAGGAGGGAAAGCAGCAUCAACGAUUCCAUGGUUCAAAGCUGAUGACGGGGAGAGGAGGCGGUGUACGGAGGGGUAGGCAGAGGAGGUGACACCUCCGAGGAGCAGUGUUCAGCUUUCACCACAGCAAGUACCUAGCCUCAUCCAUGUCCUCUUCGUCGCUGAAGACGCCGACGAACAGUUCACGCCAACCCUCCUCUGCAUCUUAUUUUUAAGGUUCUUCUUUCUCUCUGUGUCAAACGUUCUAUCCUAGAGGUUGAGAUAAAAGUGGAGGCAUACUCUUCUUUAAUUUAAGAUCCUGAACAUCACGUUUUGGUUUAUGGGAAUCCGUUUCUAAUGCUUGCACCGUGUUUCAUAAAGUGACAAAUUAGCUCAUGUUUCAUCUCCAGGUUAAACAAGAUGCCAAUAUAUUUUGGUUUCUCGGUUACAGUGGUCGGUUAGGUGUUAUUGUGCCGCUGGGUUGCUCUCCGUGCUGAUGCUUGCUAAUAUUUGACCCAAAAUUCAAUUUAACUGGAAGUUCUCGGUGGUGUCUACCUACUAUUUGAUACAAAAAUCAUGUUUUUCAUACCGGAAUAUUGUGUGCCCGUGAAGGUGAUUUUUUUGUUCUGCAAUAUGAUGAUUGCUUCAUAUUUUUUCUAGCGCUGGAUGCAUGUCAAUUAUAAUCACAUGGGACUUCCAAGUUCCAACUCAGGUUCACCAAUGGCAGGCGAGGAAACCGAGCCAACGAGACACACCACUGAUUAGCAUGUGCUUAUGAUUCUGUAUUGUCAGGUGAGGAAACCAAGCCUGUCUCCGAUUGCUUGACUGAUUCCGUAUUGUCAGGAUUUACUCUUCAUGUAUUAUUCGAUGUCGACCUCGACAAAGUGUAGCAUUGCACUGGUGCAUAUGUGUAUAUUAAAUCUGCAGCAGGUAUAUGAAUUUUACUUGGCAUACCAUUAUUCCCUCUUUAUUUGUUGCCCUUUGCUUUCUGUUGUAUUGAUUAAAGUGAUACGAAAUGUGAGAAGAUGCUUUCUGCAAUGGUAGUGGUCUGAUGAUUGAAGUGAUUUUCUCAAUAAGCACUUUUUGUUAUAUUGAUUUCAGUGAUAUGGAAUGUGAGAAGCCUACUGUUUCUUACGAUGAAAACAAUUAUGUGAUUUUUUUAUGACAAGUCUGUUUAAUUUACAUGAAGUUGUGUAUUUUAUAAUUUGAUUGCCAAAGUAUAUGUAUGACAAUAUGAGUUGAUUACGACAUGAUAGUUCGAGGUUGUAGCUUCUUGCAUAAUUUAUACUCUCAUGUCUGGAUGGCUUUAUUUAAAAUUGUAGUUGAUCUAUGUAUUACAGCUGGUUGUUUGACGUUAGUGGGAUAAUAUUUUCAACUUGAAGGUUUUAUUUCAAAAUGUAGUUGAUCUUGCUAUGUUUUAGGGGAAAAUCUUAGGAGAAUAGUUAAUGGGAACUAAUGCUUAUUGCAUUGUUCUUCCAGGUGUCAAGCUGAAUCAGAUUCUUUUAUUCCGUAAUGUUGAUGUUAUGCUGCUACUUCGAUGCUGCUUAUUUUCUAGCGUGUGCUUUAAAUACCAUUUUAUGAGAUCUGACAUAUUUGUGUGUGCUUUGAGUAGAUGAACCAAUUAUAAACUCCACUCAAAAUAUGCUUACUAGAAUUAUUGACCAUGUAUUAUAAAACAGAGAACAUUAACUAAGAAAGUUAUGUUUGUGUUACAACUAGCAGCUGCCUCCAGUUGUUGUGUUGGUUCAGUUAUACUUGUUUGGGUCCGUGUACUUCAGCUUCACCAAACACUAUCUAACUUGCUGGUUUAAAGAACAAUAUGCCUGGCGAGUCACCCUAGAGAAAAGUCGGGCCCCUUAGCAAGUGUCUUCUUAGGGAAUUAUGAGCUUUUGUCUACUCUGCUUUCAUUUCCUAUGCAUAUGUUGCAGUAUCUUUGUAUGUUUGAUAUUUUUAUCCUUUACUUAUCACUUCAAAUGGCUUCUGGUGGCUUAAUAUGUAUGAGGUUGUUGUACAAUAUGUAGGUCCAACAUAUUACUCUUAGAUCUCUCUAAAAUUCUUAUAAAAUUAUACUGAUGAUCAUAACAUGUUGACAAAAUGAUCAUAUCAGCUUGCCACUGAAACAAAAAUACUCUUACCUUAGUGUGAUCCACUGCAAACUAUUAUAUGCAUUACUAUUAUUUUUAGGCAUUCAUUACUAAAACGGCUUUGUUAAUAGUGCAAGGUCUCAUUGAAUUUUAUGGGUUCUGCAAAUCGUGAGGGUAACCGGAAAAGGAGUAUAUUCAUGGUUGCAGAAUCUAUGAUGAAUUAAGUCGCUUUGAUAUAGUAUCUUCAUACGGAGUUACAUACCCUACCAAUGCUGAACAAUGGGUCAUCGCCAAAUGAGUGGUAUGCCAUGAUAGUUUAUAAAAGGAGCUGCAGUAAGUAUCUGUAGUUUCAGAAAGCUGCAGUAAGUAUCUGCAGUUUCAGAAAGCCGUGGUGCUUGGAAGGAUUUAAGAUAAUAUGUUAUGCACAUCGAAUUACUAAGUUCUUGUACUUUUUUAAUUCUCUCUGGUUAGUUGCAACUGGAUUAGGUAGACAUUUAAUGGUUCUCUAACGAACAUAUACAAUGGAUUUUCCCCUGGUUCUUCUCGUUUUGUGCUUCAAGGUGUUUAUGUUUGAAUUUACCGAAAGCCCUUUCCGGUUAUUUUGGUCCCAGCUUGACCAAAUAAUUCUAAUUUUUUAAUGUUUUUCUAAGAGUGCUUGGAAUGAUUUAAGACAAUAUGUUAUGCAUAUUGAAUUACUCAAACGCUCAAGUACUUUUUUUUUUCUCUCUGGUUAGUUGCAAUUGGUCAGGAUUAGAUAGACUGUUCAUGAACUUUUUGUGGUUCCAACUAGGUAAUGUUGUACUACUUUUCUAACGGCUACUAUUACGAGUGUUCAUAUAGGUAGAAACAGAGCAUUCACAGCCAUAAGUGCGACUGUAAACUUUAAAUGAAACUUUUACAAAGGAAAAGAAGCAAAAAAAGUUAUUUGUUGAAAUAGUUGAGUUUCUC